GCCAACAUAGGGCAGUGGUUUGAGCACUGGACUACUACUCUAGAGAAUAGGGUUCAAAUCCCCACUUGGCC